GGAUGCCGCACUACAUGGUGCCAAAGACAGUGGUGUUCGAGGAAGAGCUGCCUAAGACUUCAACGGGGAAGAUUCAGAAAUUUGUGCUGAGAGAAACUGCCAAAGCUAUGGGUUCGUCCCGAGUGAGUCGCAUGUAGUGGAGAUUUGGAAGCUGAGUUAACUCGGCCCUAGGUGGAGCUAGCUUAUCUCAUCUUAUUUUAUCAUAUGUUCUACUGACAAGGGCAACUAAAUGGAAUCUUUGAGAAAUUUGUGCUGAGAGAAACUGCCAAAGCUAUGGGUUCGUCCCGAGUGAGUCGCAUGUAGUGGAGAUUUGGAAGCUGAGUUAACUCGGCCCUAGGUGGAGUUGACAAGUUAGCUUAUCUUGUCUUAUUUUAUCAUAUGUUUUGCCGACACGGCAAACUAAAUGGAAUCUUUAACCUUUUUCG
rnacentral:lncRNA from 1 species